rnacentral:rRNA from 1 species
UUGUGAGGUUAAGCGACUAAGCGUACACGGUGGAUGCCCUGGCAGUCAGAGGCGAUGAAGGACGUGCUAAUCUGCGAUAAGCGUCGGUGAGGUGAUAUGAACCGUUAUAACCGGCGAUUUCCGAAUGGGGAAACCCAGUGUGUUUCGACACACUAUCAUUAACUGAAUCCAUAGGUUAAUGAGGCGAACCGGGGGAACUGAAACAUCUAAGUACCCCGAGGAAAAGAAAUCAACCGAGAUUCCCCCAGUAGCGGCGAGCGAACGGGGAGGAGCCCAGAGCCUGAAUCAGUGUGUGUGUUAGUGGAAGCGUCUGGAAAGGCGUGCGAUACAGGGUGACAGCCCCGUACACAAAAAUGCACAUAUUGUGAGCUCGAUGAGUAGGGCGGGACACGUGGUAUCCUGUCUGAAUAUGGGGGGACCAUCCUCCAAGGCUAAAUACUCCUGACUGACCGAUAGUGAACCAGUACCGUGAGGGAAAGGCGAAAAGAACCCCGGCGAGGGGAGUGAAAAAGAACCUGAAACCGUGUACGUACAAGCAGUGGGAGCCUCUUUAUGGGGUGACUGCGUACCUUUUGUAUAAUGGGUCAGCGACUUAUAUUCUGUAGCAAGGUUAACCGAAUAGGGGAGCCGAAGGGAAACCGAGUCUUAACUGGGCGUUAAGUUGCAGGGUAUAGACCCGAAACCCGGUGAUCUAGCCAUGGGCAGGUUGAAGGUUGGGUAACACUAACUGGAGGACCGAACCGACUAAUGUUGAAAAAUUAGCGGAUGACUUGUGGCUGGGGGUGAAAGGCCAAUCAAACCGGGAGAUAGCUGGUUCUCCCCGAAAGCUAUUUAGGUAGCGCCUCGUGAAUUCAUCUCCGGGGGUAGAGCACUGUUUCGGCAAGGGGGUCAUCCCGACUUACCAACCCGAUGCAAACUGCGAAUACCGGAGAAUGUUAUCACGGGAGACACACGGCGGGUGCUAACGUCCGUCGUGAAGAGGGAAACAACCCAGACCGCCAGCUAAGGUCCCAAAGUCAUGGUUAAGUGGGAAACGAUGUGGGAAGGCCCAGACAGCCAGGAUGUUGGCUUAGAAGCAGCCAUCAUUUAAAGAAAGCGUAAUAGCUCACUGGUCGAGUCGGCCUGCGCGGAAGAUGUAACGGGGCUAAACCAUGCACCGAAGCUGCGGCAGCGACACUAUGUGUUGUUGGGUAGGGGAGCGUUCUGUAAGCCUGUGAAGGUGGCCUGUGAGGGUUGCUGGAGGUAUCAGAAGUGCGAAUGCUGACAUAAGUAACGAUAAAGCGGGUGAAAAGCCCGCUCGCCGGAAGACCAAGGGUUCCUGUCCAACGUUAAUCGGGGCAGGGUGAGUCGACCCCUAAGGCGAGGCCGAAAGGCGUAGUCGAUGGGAAACAGGUUAAUAUUCCUGUACUUGGUGUUACUGCGAAGGGGGGACGGAGAAGGCUAUGUUGGCCGGGCGACGGUUGUCCCGGUUUAAGCGUGUAGGCUGGUUUUCCAGGCAAAUCCGGAAAACCAAGGCUGAGGCGUGAUGACGAGGCACUACGGUGCUGAAGCGACAAAUGCCCUGCUUCCAGGAAAAGCCUCUAAGCAUCAGGUAACAUCAAAUCGUACCCCAAACCGACACAGGUGGUCAGGUAGAGAAUACCAAGGCGCUUGAGAGAACUCGGGUGAAGGAACUAGGCAAAAUGGUGCCGUAACUUCGGGAGAAGGCACGCUGAUAUGUAGGUGAAGCGACUUGCUCGUGGAGCUGAAAUCAGUCGAAGAUACCAGCUGGCUGCAACUGUUUAUUAAAAACACAGCACUGUGCAAACACGAAAGUGGACGUAUACGGUGUGACGCCUGCCCGGUGCCGGAAGGUUAAUUGAUGGGGUUAGCGGUAACGCGAAGCUCUUGAUCGAAGCCCCGGUAAACGGCGGCCGUAACUAUAACGGUCCUAAGGUAGCGAAAUUCCUUGUCGGGUAAGUUCCGACCUGCACGAAUGGCGUAAUGAUGGCCAGGCUGUCUCCACCCGAGACUCAGUGAAAUUGAACUCGCUGUGAAGAUGCAGUGUACCCGCGGCAAGACGGAAAGACCCCGUGAACCUUUACUAUAGCUUGACACUGAACAUUGAGCCUUGAUGUGUAGGAUAGGUGGGAGGCUUUGAAGUGUGGACGCCAGUCUGCAUGGAGCCGACCUUGAAAUACCACCCUUUAAUGUUUGAUGUUCUAACGUUGGCCCGUAAUCCGGGUUGCGGACAGUGUCUGGUGGGUAGUUUGACUGGGGCGGUCUCCUCCUAAAGAGUAACGGAGGAGCACGAAGGUUGGCUAAUCCUGGUCGGACAUCAGGAGGUUAGUGCAAUGGCAUAAGCCAGCUUGACUGCGAGCGUGACGGCGCGAGCAGGUGCGAAAGCAGGUCAUAGUGAUCCGGUGGUUCUGAAUGGAAGGGCCAUCGCUCAACGGAUAAAAGGUACUCCGGGGAUAACAGGCUGAUACCGCCCAAGAGUUCAUAUCGACGGCGGUGUUUGGCACCUCGAUGUCGGCUCAUCACAUCCUGGGGCUGAAGUAGGUCCCAAGGGUAUGGCUGUUCGCCAUUUAAAGUGGUACGCGAGCUGGGUUUAGAACGUCGUGAGACAGUUCGGUCCCUAUCUGCCGUGGGCGCUGGAGAACUGAGGGGGGCUGCUCCUAGUACGAGAGGACCGGAGUGGACGCAUCACUGGUGUUCGGGUUGUCAUGCCAAUGGCACUGCCCGGUAGCUAAAUGCGGAAGAGAUAAGUGCUGAAAGCAUCUAAGCACGAAACUUGCCCCGAGAUGAGUUCUCCCUGACUCCUUGAGAGUCCUGAAGGAACGUUGAAGACGACGACGUUGAUAGGCCGGGUGUGUAAGCGCAGCGAUGCGUUGAGCUAACCGGUACUAAUGAACCGUGAGG